GACUGCCCUAUGGGUUGUAAACUGCUUUUAUACGGGAAGAAACCCAUCUACGUGUAGAUGGCUGACGGUACCGUAAGAAUAAGCAUCGGCUAACUCCGUGCCAGCAGCCGCGGUAAUACGGAGGAUGCAAGCGUUAUCCGGAAUCAUUGGGUUUAAAGGGUCCGUAGGUGGAUUAGUAAGUCAGAGGUGAAAGCCUGCAGCUCAACUGUAGAACUGCCUUUGAUACUGCUAGUCUUGAAUUAUUGUGAAGUGGUUAGAAUAUGUAGUGUAGCGGUGAAAUGCAUAGAUAUUACAUAGAAUACCAAUUGCGAAGGCAGAUCACUAACAAUAUAUUGACACUGAUGGACGAAAGCGUGGGGAGCGAACGGGAUUAGAUACCCCGGUAGUCCACGCCGUAAACGAUGGUCACUAGCUGUUCGGAUUUCGGUCUGAGUGGCUAAGCGAAAGUGAUAAGUGACCCACCUGGGGAGUACGUUCGCAAGAAUGAAAC
rnacentral:rRNA from 1 species